GGGAAUGUAACUUAAUUGGUAAAGUACUAAGCUUUUAACUUAUCUUAUCAGAGUUCGAGUCUCUGCGUUCUCA
rnacentral:tRNA from 1 species